ACCGCGGUAGCGGUAGUUGGUUGUGGCGUCAGCAGUUAAGAUGCCGAAGGUUGCAGGUUCAAGUCCUGCCUGCGGCG